UACGUAGGGGGCAAGCGUUGUCCGGAUUUAUUGGGCGUAAAGGGUGCGUAGGUGGCGCGCUAAGUCAGGUGUGAAAUUUCGGAGCUUAACUCCGAAACUGCAUUUGAUACUGGCGUGCUUGAGGACUGGAGAGGAGACUGGAAUUCACGGUGUAGCAGUGAAAUGCGUAGAGAUCGUGAGGAAGACCAGUGGCGAAGGCGGGUCUCUGGACAGUUCCUGACACUGAGGCACGAAGGCCAGGGGAGCAAACGGG
rnacentral:rRNA from 1 species